CCGGUUGAUCCUGCCGGAGGCUACCGCUAUUGGAGUUCGAUUAAGCCAUGCGAGUCGCGAGUCUUAGGGACUCGGCGUACCGCUCAGUAACACGUGGGUAACCUGCCCUAUGCUGGGGGAUAACCUCGGGAAACUGAGAAUAAUACCCCAUAGUUCACCAUGCCUGGAACGGUGGGUGGACCAAAGCUCCGGCGGCAUAGGAUGGGCCUGCGGCGUAUCAGGUUGUAGGGGGUGUAAUGUACCCUCUAGCCCUCUACGCGUACGGGUGUUGAGAGACAUCGCCCGGAGAUGGAUUCUGAGACACGAAUCCAGACCCUACGGGGUGCAGCAGGCGCGAAAACUUGGCAAUGCGAGAAAUCGUGACCAGGGAACUCCAAGUGCAUCGGGUAAGACCGAUGCUUUUCUUGACUCUUCAAAGGUCUUGGAAUAAGGGGUGGGUAAGGACGGUGCCAGCCGCCGCGGUAAUACCGGCGCCCCAAGUGGUAGUCGCUUUUAUUGGGCCUAAAACGUCCGUAGCCGGUCUGGUACAUUCGUGGGUAAAUCAACCAGCUCAACUGGUUGAAUUCUGCGAGCACGGCCAGACUUGGGACCGGGAGAGGUGUGGGGUACUCUCAGGGUAGGGGUAAAAUCCUGUCAUCCUGAGAGGACCACCUGUUGCGAAGGCGCCACACUAGAACGGAUCCGACGGUCAGGGACGAAGCCUAGGGGCACGAACCGGAUUAGAUACCCGGGUAGUCCUAGGUGUAAACGCUGUGGACUUGAUGUUGGGGGCGCUCCGAGCGCACUCAGUGUCGAAGCGAAGGUGAUAAGUCCACUGCCUGGGGAGUACGGUCGCAAGGCUGAAACUUAAAGGAAUUGGCGGGG
rnacentral:rRNA from 1 species